rnacentral:rRNA from 1 species
UACGUAGGGUGCAAGCGUUAAUCGGAAUUACUGGGCGUAAAGCGUGCGCAGGCGGUGAUGUAAGUCAGAUGUGAAAUCCCCGGGCUUAACCUGGGAAUGGCAUUUGGGACUGCAAGGCUUGAGUGCGGCAGAGGAGACUGGAAUUCCUGGUGUAGCAGUGAAAUGCGUAGAUAUCAGGAGGAACACCGAUGGCGAAGGCAGGUCUCUGGGCUGACACUGACGCUCAUGCACGAAAGCGUGGGGAGCAAACAGG